rnacentral:tRNA from 1 species
UCCCUGGUGGUCCAGUGGUUAGGACUCAGCAUUCCCACUGCUGAGGGUUUGAGUUCAAUCUCUGGUCGGGUAA